rnacentral:rRNA from 1 species
AUGGCGGACCACCAGCAGCUGCUCCCGACGUUGACGUGCAGGUGCAGCAACUGCGUCACCGAGCGCGCCGUCAUCUUCUGCAUCGCCGACGGCGCCAGGCUCUGCCUCGAGUGCGACGGCGCCGUGCACGGCGCCAGCGAGCUCGCGGGCCUCCACUCGCGCGCCCCGCUCUGCGACGGCUGCUGCGCCGCGCCCGCCGCGCUCCGCUACCAAUUCGGCGCCCACUGGGCCACGCUCUGCACCGGCUGCGCCGACGGCCGCGGCGGCGCCUCCCUCGUGGAGGUUUACACCGGCUGCCCCGCGCCCGCCGAGGUCCUCCGCACCCUCUCCGUCGACGCGCCGUCGUCGUCGUCGCAGGAGGACUUCGACGCCUGGCUCGCCGACAACCUCCCCCAAAUCCUACAGGAUGUUCAGUUUGAUUGUGUGAUACAUUGUGUGUGA